rnacentral:rRNA from 1 species
CCUACGGGAGGCAGCAGUGAGGAAUAUUGGUCAAUGGCCGGAAGGCUGAACCAGCCAAGUCGCGUGAGGGACGACUGCCCUAUGGGUUGUAAACCUCUUUUAUAAGGGAAGAAUAAAUGCUACGUGUAGCAUGAUGCCUGUACCUUAUGAAUAAGCAUCGGCUAACUCCGUGCCAGCAGCCGCGGUAAUACGGAGGAUGCGAGCGUAUCCGGAUUUAUUGGGGUUAAAGGGUGCGUAGGCGGUUUUUUAAGUUAGUGGUUAAACGGCGGGGCUUCACCUUGAUUUGCCAUUAAUACUGUAAGACUCGAGUUCAGACGAGGUAGGCGGAAUAAGUUAAGUAGCGGUGAAAUGCUUAGAUAUAACUUAGAACUCCGAUAGCGAAGGCAGCUUACCAGACUGCGACUGACGCUGAAGCACGAGAGCGUGGGUAGCGAACAGGAUUAGAUACCCUAGUAGUC